rnacentral:rRNA from 1 species
UGCCAGCCGCCGCGGUAAUACGGAGGGUGCAAGCGUUACUCGGAAUCACUGGGCGUAAAGAGCGUGUAGGCGGGUUAAUAAGUCAGAUGUGAAAGCCAAUAGCUCAACUAUUGAACUGCAUUUGAAACUGUAAACCUAGAAUAUGGGAGAGGUAGAUGGAAUUUCUGGUGUAGGGGUAAAAUUCGUAGAUAUUCGGAGGAACACCAGUGGCGAAGGCGACUUACUGGCUCGAUACUGACGCUGAGGUGCGAAAGUGUGGGGAGCAAACAGGAUUAGAUA